rnacentral:rRNA from 1 species
CAGUAGCCGCGGGAAUACGAAGGGUGCAAGCGUUACUCGGAAUUACUGGGCGUAAAGCGUGCGUAGGUGGUGGUUUAAGUCCGUUGUGAAAGCCCUGGGCUCAACCUGGGAAUUGCAGUGGAUACUGGGUCACUAGAGUGUGGUAGAGGAUAGUGGAAUUUCCGGUGUAGCAGUGAAAUGCGUAGAGAUCGGAAGGAACAUCUGUGGCGAAGGCGACUAUCUGGGCCAACACUGACACUGAGGCACGAAAGCGUGGGGAGCAAACAGGAUUAGAUAACCCAGUAGUCCCUGUCUCUUAUAC